CAUAAGCGCAUGGAACCACCUGAAAAUACACUCUGCAGCCAUCUGGCCUUGCUGAGGUAUGCACUAUUGCAACAGCAAUGCACAUGUUGGCAAACUGUAUGACAAAAUCUAAGCAAAUAAAAGGGGAGGCUAUUGCUUUUUGUCAAAAUAACCUGACUUGGUGCAACGCCAGUGGAAUUUAUAUCUUGGUGUUUCAACCCAAAAUACACCCCGUUUACACACUGCACUUCUGCCCACAUUAACUAUCACACUACUGCACUAAA